UACGGGGGGGGCAAGCGUUGUUCGGAAUUAUUGGGCGUAAAGAGCUCGUAGGCGGUUUGUCGCGUCGAAUGUGAAAACCCGGGGCUCAACCCCGGGCCUGCAUUCGAUACGGGCAGACUAGAGUUCGGUAGGGGAGUCUGGAAUUCCUGGUGUAGCGGUGAAAUGCGCAGAUAUCAGGAGGAACACCGGUGGCGAAGGCGGGUCUCUGGGCCGUAACUGACGCUGAGGAGCGAAAGCAUGGGGAGUGAACAGG
rnacentral:rRNA from 1 species